AUGUGGUGUAGCCGAUUCGCGGCGGAGACCAUCGGAAAAAGUGGAAUCGGGAUCUCCAAGAUCCUACUUAUCGCCGGAGCUAGUUACACCGGUACCGUCCUCAUCAAAAACGGAAAACUAUCGGAUAUAAUCGGUGAACUCCAGUCACUUGUGAAGGGAUUGGAAAAGUACGGCGAUCAGAAUGAUGAAGGCGGGGAUGGAAUCGGAAGCCAGCAUCGGAGCACCGUUGAUGGAUGA
rnacentral:lncRNA from 1 species